rnacentral:rRNA from 1 species
GGUAUAAUAAUUAUUUUUAAUUUUAAGUUGGGUUAUUUUUAAAAUAAGAAAAUUGUGGUUUUAUUAUUGUGGCGAAAUAAUUAUUUUUAUGAUAGUUAAUUAGUACUGUGAAGGGGGUUUAUUCACUAUAAGGAAGAAGAUUUAAUUUGUUGUACCUUGUGUAUCAGGGUUUAUCAAUUAAAAAUUUUUAAUAUAAAAUUUUCUCGAAGUUAGAAGAGCUAUUUAUCUAUACAUAUUAUUGUAGAAUAAAUACUUAUAAUAGAUAGUUUGCAGUGAAAUGUUAUUCGUUUCUAAAUAUAUCUAGUUUUUUAAGAAAUAGAUUUAAUCUAAUUGAUUUUGUAUAAUUAUUUAAAUUUUUAAUAUUUUGUAUGGAUCAGUAAAUAUCUUAGGGGAUGAGCUUUAAGAUAAAAAUUUAAAAGUUUGUGGGGAGAAAUUCAAUAUAAAUAGGAUUGGAAAUUUUCUUUUUUAUAAGUUUGUUAUAAUUUUUAUUGAAAUUUAUAUUAUUUAAUUUUAUUUUAAAUUUUUUAUUAAAAUGUAGGCUUGAAUUAUGAAGGUCUAGGACUUCUGUUAGAAUUAGUAUAUCAUAUUGUUUGGUCGAGGUGAAGUUCAAGGUUAACAAAAGGAACUCGGCAAAUGAUUUUUCACCUGUUUAAUAAAAACAUGGCCUUUUGAUUUAUAAUUUAAGGUCUGACCUGCCCACUGAAAUUUUUAAAUGGCCGCGGUAAUUUGACCGUGCAAAGGUAGCAUAAUAAUUAGUUUCUUAAUUGGAAGCUGGAAUGAACGGUCGGAUGAAAAAAUAACUGUCUCUUGUUAAAUUAAACUAGAACUUUAUCUUUAAGUAAAAAGGCUUAAAUGCGAUUAAAAGACGAGAAGACCCUAUAGAGUUUUAUUAAGUUAAACUACUAUAAUUUAUUAGAAUUUUGAAAUUUAAUGUUUGAAUUAAUUUGGUUGGGGUGAUUGAAAAAUUUAAUAAACUUUUUUUAUAUUAUUACACUCAUAUGUGAAAGCUUGAUCCGGUUUUACUGAUUACAAGAAAAAAUUACCUUAGGGAUAACAGCGUAAUUUCUUCCAAGAGUUCUAAUCGAAGAAGGAGUUUGCGACCUCGAUGUUGGAUUAAAAUUAAGUUUCGGUGUAGGGGCUGAAAAUUUAAGUCUGUUCGACUUUUAAAAUUUUACAUGAUCUGAGUUUAGACCGGCGUGAGCCAGGUUGGUUUCUAUCUUUAAUAAACUAAAAUAUUUUAGUACGAAAGGACCAAAUAUUUAAUAGACUAUUUUUUUUUGAAUAUUAUU